ACUGCCAUGUUGCAAGCUGCCCUGUGAAGAGGCCUCCAUGACAAAGAACUGUAGGGUCCCCUGGACAACAGCCAGCAAGGCAAUGAGACCCUUAGUCCAAUAGCCCACGAGGAACUGAAUCUUGCCAAGAACCACAUGGAUGAGGUUGCAAGUAGGUCCUUCCCAAGUGUACCCUGGACGACAUUGUUACAUGUGCUUUCCCAAAUCCACGGACUUCUGGCUGAUCCGGGGUUGCAAUAUGCACUGCACCACCAUCCUCUCUCUUGGAAAUUCCCUUCGGCUGGGAAAGAAAUGGAUGAUCAAGGUCAGUGGUUUCCAACCAGGCUGAACAUCAGAAUCCACAGGAAUGAUGCUAAGCCCCAUUUCACCUCUGAGACUUUCAGGUUCAAGCGUCUGGAAUGGGGCCACAGAUCUGAAUUUUUAAAGAAGGGUUCUGGUUGACUCUGACAGUUACAUUAAAUGAGUAUAUUUUGGAACCACCAGGCUGAGUGGCCUUAAAAUUUUCUUCAAGAACUAAGGCUCCAGGGCAGGAGGGUACUAGGGAAACUGCCUGGCCACCUGACCCUUCUCUGAUCUCCUCACUCUCUCAGGUGACCCCUUCCUGGACCUAGCAUCCCUCAACUUUUCUGACUUCCCUGGACCAGGCUGGGAACUCACAUUCUCUUCUAGAGAAUAGAAUGCAAUAGAGUUGAUGGGAUGUCACUUUUGAUAUUAGUAUGUAAAAAGGCUGUGCACUCUCUCUUGCCUUCUCACUUGCUUUGAGGGAAGCCCACUGCCAUGUUGCAAGUUGCCCUGUGAAGAGGCCUCCAUGACAAGGAACUGUAGGGUCCCCUGGACAACAGCCAGCAAGGCAAUGAGACCCUUAGUCUCAUCAAUAGUCUACGAGGAACUGAAUCUUGCAAGAACCACAUGGAUGAGGUUGCAAGGUCCAAUUAGAUAAACUCAUCCUCGCUGGCAGAUAAUGGCACCAAUGUGAUCAUCCUCCUAGAGGUAUUUUCAUCUUGGUAUGGAGCCUCCAGAGCUAUCUUUGCUUGAAAGAAUGAAACUUCAGGAAUGAAAGUUUGCACAUAAAGCAAGCCCAUGAGAAAGACAUUUCGGGAAAACUAGAAUCCUGUUAAGUUAUGGGAUUUUUUUCAAGCCACAUGGUUGAUAAGUAGUCUGACCAGGAUCCUGGAGCAACACAAGGAAGACAAGGACCCUUGAAGACAAGGCAGCCUUGAAACCAAAUGAAGCCCUGGGCCAGUGAGCAUGGCAAGAGGAAGACUGUUAAUUGCGAGAAAGCUGGGUCUUGAAGAUGAUUCCAUAUCAACAUACAGGGAGUUCCACCACUGAAUGGUCUAUCGGUUGGGAAUGCCAUCAUUUAUUUUCACCAGUGGGGAAGAAUUGGUAUUAAUAUCAAAACCACAGUACUGUCAUACCCAGCUAUAAUUUGCAAUGUUUAUAUGCCUGUACGAAUGAAUAAUUAACAGUUAAAUGAAUCAAUAUAUAUCUAUCUAUGUGUAGGAAUAUCUAAUCUAUAAUAUAUGCUCGCGUAAGUGGUAAUUAAUCUCUUUUUUGAGACAGGGUCUUUCUCUGUCAUACAGGCUGGAGUGCAAUGACAUGAUUAUGGACCUUCAGGGAUUGAGCAGCUCGACAUCCCAAGGAUCAAGCAAUCCUCCGGCCUCAGCCUACCAAGUAGCUGGGACUACAGCCAUUUGACACCCC
rnacentral:lncRNA from 1 species